CAUGCAAGUCGGACGGUAGCACAGAGGAGCUUGCUCCUCGGGUGACGAGUGGCGGACGGGUGAGUAGUGUCUGGGGAUCUGCCCGAUAGAGGGGGAUAACCACUGGAAACGGUGGCUAAUACCGCAUAACGUCGCAAGACCAAAGAGGGGGACCUUCGGGCCUCUCACUAUCGGAUGAACCCAGAUGGGAUUAGCUAGUAGGCGGGGUAAUGGCCCCCCUACGCCACUAUCCCUAGCUGGUCUGAGAGGAUGACCACCCACACUGGAACUGACACACGGUCCACACUCCUACGGGAGGCAGCAGUGGGGAAUAUUGCACAGUGGGCGCAAGCCUGAUGCACCCAUGCCGCGUGUAUGAAAAAGGCCUUCGGGUUGUAAAGUACUUUCAGCGGGGAAGAAGGCGGUGCGGUUAAUAACCGCCCCUAUAGACUUUACCCGCAAAAAAAGCACCGGCUAACUCCGUGCCA
rnacentral:rRNA from 1 species